UGGCUCAGUGGUAGAGCGCAUGCCUUGCAUGCCUGAGGCCCUGGGUUCGAUUCCUCAG
rfam:Dipodomys ordii contig_49967, whole genome shotgun sequence.